AGGGACUGCGCACCAGGUCUCACCUGCAGCUUACCUGAAAACCCAUUUGCGACUUACCUGGAAACUCACUUGCGACUUGCCUUGAAACCAACCUGCGACUUACCUGGAAACCCACCUGUGCCUUACCUGGAAACACACUAUAUAUUAUACAGAUAAACCUCCCUACGAGGUCUGGUUUAUGGCAUGUUUCUGAAUACAAUUAUAUGAAGGAUUUGUAGCAAGGAGCAUAUACAACAUAUCAACAUUAUGACCAAUACCAGCCCUAAAUGUUGCCUCGAAACAUCCCUUUCUUUUCAAAUUGAAUAUGGCACUAUUAUCACGAAACCGAGAUCGAGCAGUUGGAUCCAGACAGUUGUUGGAAAGUUGAAAAGAAAAGUUUCCUUAAGGCUCACCCGCCUGUAGUACGCUUGUGACUUUAAUACACUUCCCUGUCUGCACAUGUUUCACAAAGAAACAAGCAGCGCCUGAAACAAAACACAAAACUUAAAUUAAAUUACGAAGUAAACAAUAGACUUUUGUUGCGUGUCUGCAUGUGUGCUUCCGUUUAUCCCCGAGCCAAAGGCGCGGAACGCCGUGCGAGCGUACUAAUUCCGCCCGGCUAUUUACACCCGGGGAAACGAAAGCAUUAGCGAAGUCUAAAGUUCAUCAAUGAUCGCGGGCGUAGGUCACUGGGCGUGGGUGGUCAUCCUCACUGAUCUGAUCAUAAUAUAGCGGACUGACAUGAAUAGUCAACACUGAUUGGUCCAAUUUAAAAUUUGCAUUAUAACGACUGCAUGACGACAGCGAAAUAGCAAAUAAUUCUUGAUUUGAUGAUUUCUCGGAAAUAUAUUUCGUUUUUGCAAGAUUUUGUAAAUUUCAAAAGCUUUUUGAUAAAAUAAAGGCGCCGACGUCAACGAUCGAAGUAAGUUUGUUUUAAUUAUUGCAUGAUGCAUUGUCUGCUUUUAUUUAAUAUACUGUAAUUACUUUAAAAGCCGAUCGUUGCGUAUAACUAUGAAACAAGACAGCAUAAUUAUUUCAGUGUUUCUUUAUUGAUUACCCUUUUUAUUAUAAUAAGCAAAGUUAUUUGCAUGCGAGAAUUUGGAAUCAUUUUAUUUCGAAUUCAAACUUUAUCGAUAAAGGCAGUUUAGUUUAAUAUUAAAAGAACACUUUAAAACGUUUUGCGAAGCGUUUGUGGUUGAAUUUUACCUUAAAUUGAAGCUUAUAUUACGUAUAAUAACAUACCUAACAUUAUAUGUUUGGGAAAUUGAUAAUUUUGUAAUUAAAAGUGAUAUUUUUAGGGGAUUUUUCAUUUGUAAAAAUAUUCUUAAAAAAUUAUCGUGUUACCAUGACAACUACUUUAGAUACUUCAUGUUCGGAGGGUUUCUGCAUGCAUGUAUUUUCUGGUACUAAAGUGAUGGGAUAACUUUAUAUUUGAGUUAUAUGAAACUUUUAUUAAUCUGUGUGUGCCAGUCACUGGCUGACAAUAACUGAAACUUUUUUGACUCUCUUGCAUUUGAACUAAAUGGAUGACCCCAUGUGGUCAUCAAGUGAAUAAUGAAGGCACAUUAUUUAAUAGAUUACCCUAAUAUUUUAAUUUAGAGUUGGGAAGACAGAAUGCUGAAUUAACAACCAAGAACAUUGCAUCACUCAUGGCAGAGGAUUUCCUUGUGG
rnacentral:lncRNA from 1 species